CAGUCGCCGCGGUAAUACGGAGGAUCCGAGCGUUAUCCGGAAUUAUUGGGUUUAAAGGGUGCGUAGGCGGAUAGAUAAGUCAGUGGUGAAAGACGGUGGCUCAACCAUCGCAGUGCCGUUGAUACUGUUUAUCUUGAAUAUGGAUGAGGUAGGCGGAAUGUGGCAAGUAGCGGUGAAAUGCAUAGAUAUGCCACAGAACACCGAUUGCAAAGGCAGCUUACCAAGGCAAAAUUGACGCUGAGGCACGAAAGCGUGGGGAUCGAACAGGAUUAGAUACCCCUGUAGUCCCUGUCUCUUAUAC
rnacentral:rRNA from 1 species